GCCUCGGUAGCGCAGUAGGUAGCGCGUCAGUCUCAUAGCCAUAUAAGGGCGAUCUGAAGGUCGUGAGUUCGAUCCUCACCCGGGGCA
rnacentral:tRNA from 1 species